AUUGACAGCUCUCAGCUUAUUUUAGUAUCAUUGGAAAGUCUUAAAUUUUUUUUUGUUAUUUUUAUACUGACUUUAAUUUUGAAGGAUGUUCAACAGGAGUUUUUUUCGCAGCCAAGUAAUAUACAUAAGUGUGUUGUCUUUAUCGCUAGUGGCUCCUACCUGGCUGGAAUCUUGUCAAUAAUAAAUCUGGGGAAAGAAAGUAGUGUAACAGAACUUUCAGUCACAUCAAAACCAAA